rnacentral:lncRNA from 1 species
GUCAGUGGUUCUCAACCUUCCUAAUGCUCCUGCCCUUUAAUUCCAUCCCUCAUGUUGUGGUGACCCCCAACCAUAAAAUAAGUCAUAACUGUAAUUUUGCUACUGUUAUGAAUCAUAAUGUAAACAUCUGUGUUUUAUUAUGAUCUUAGGCAACCCCUGUGAAACAAUCUUUCAACCCUCAAAGGGGUCAUGACCUACAAGUUGAGAACCACUGACUUAGUUGUUUCUGUCAGCUGUUCUGUGAAUCUGAAAAGAAGGCAAGACAAUGCCUUUUCCAGUGCAUGCAACAAAGGAGGAGCCAUCUAACCUCUCCAGCCAUAGGAUUUACAUGACAACCUUAAUAGACAAGGAACGUGGAAGACACCCUACACAGUGUGAGAAACCUUAACCCUGAGAAUCACCUAAGGCUGAUGUCAUUUCUCAGAAAUCUGGCUUAAGAAUCACAUCAGGGAGAGACUGGUUUUAUGCAGGUAACCACAGCCUCUGUGAGUUCAUGAAUAAAGUAAUCCAGUUAUGCCCAGAAGGCAUAGUUCAGUCCAGUCCUCUCUAGGUUGGCUCUUACAAUCAUUCUGCUUCCUCUUCCACAAAAGUUUCUCGGUCUUACCAGGUGAGUACCCUAUAGAUGUGUGGAAAACAUUGGGUGCUUCAGGAUCUGGUAUUAUUUCCAGAUUGACUUUUCAAGUCUUCCAACACAAAAGGAGGCACCUCACUUUCAGCAAUAGGAGCCAGAACCUGACACAGUC